rnacentral:rRNA from 1 species
GACGAACGCUGGCGGCGUGCUUAACACAUGCAAGUCGAACGGAAAGGCCCUGCUCUUGUGGGGUGCUCGAGUGGCGAACGGGUGAGUAACACGUGAGUAACCUGCCCUUGACUUUGGGAUAACUUCAGGAAACUGGGGCUAAUACCGGAUAGGAGCUCCUGCUGCAUGGUGGGGGUUGGAAAGUUUCGGCGGUUGGGGAUGGACUCGCGGCUUAUCAGCUUGUUGGUGGGGUAGUGGCUUACCAAGGCUUUGACGGGUAGCCGGCCUGAGAGGGUGACCGGCCACAUUGGGACUGGGAUACGGCCCAGACUCCUACGGGAGGCAGCAGUGGGAAAUAUUGCACAAUGGGCGGAAGCCUGAUGCAGCAACGCCGCGUGCGGAAUGACGGCCUUCGGGUUGUAAACCGCUUUCGCCUGUGACGAAGCGUGAGUGACGGUAAUGGGUAAAGAAGCACCGGCUAACUACGUG